ensembl:snRNA U6 U6 spliceosomal RNA
GUGCUCGCUUCAGCACCAUAUAUACUAAAAUUGGAAUGAUACUCAGAAGAUUAGCAUGGUCUCUGUGCAAGGAUUACACACAAAUUUGUGAAGCAUUCCAAUUUUUU